rnacentral:lncRNA from 1 species
UGUGGACGUGGUGGGACCUGGUCUGGGGGACCAAGGCUGGGGACAGGGGACUUUGAUGGGUGCUGACACCAACCUGUGACUCUCCAUAGGGUGAAGAGAAGAAAAGCCCAGAGGAGGACCACACCUAUGAGGUAAUUAAUGAUAGCAGGACCUCCCUAACACCACCUGAGCCUUGACACAAGGGCUGUGCCCCUGCUGGGUGUCUGCUGGGGGCGUCCUGCAGCCCCUUCCUGGGGAGGAGAUUCAGGGCGCUUCCCUCCUGAAUUACAUCUCAGAUGUGCUGAGCUGCUCCAAGAAGCACCCAGGGCACAUCCAACAGCCAAGAGCCAAGAGCCAACAGCCAACAUCCAACAGCCAACACCCAACAGCCAACAUCCAACAGCCAAUACCCAAUAUCCAACAGCCAACAUCCAACAGCCAACACCCAACAGCCAACAUCCAACAGCCAACAUCCAACAGCCAAUACCCAAUAUCCAACACCCAACAGUCAACAUUCAACACCCAACACCCAACACCCAACAUCCAACACCCAACAUUUAACAGCCAACAGCCAACAGUCAACAUCCAACAGCCAACAUCCAACAUCCAACAUCCAACAGUCAACAUCCAACAGCCAACAGCCAACAUCCAACAGCCAACACCCAACAGCCAACACCCAACAUCCAACAGCCAACAUCCAACAGCCAAUGGGGGGGGGGGGGGGGGGGGGGGGGGGGGGGGGGGGGGGGGGGGGGGGGGGGGGGGGGGGGGGGGGGGGGGGGGGGGGGGGGGGGGGGGGGGGGGGGGGGGGGGGGGGGGGGGGGGGGGGGGGGGGGGGGGGGGGGGGGGGGGGGGGGGGGGCCAACAGCCAACAUCCAAUAUCCAACACCCAACACCCGAUACCCAACAUCCAACAGCCAACAUCCAACAGCCAACAUCCAACAUCCAACAGCCAACACCCAACAUCCAACAGCCAACAUCCAACAGCCAAUACCCAAUAUCCAACACCCAACAGUCAACAUUCAACACCCAACAUUUAACAGCCAACAGCCAACAGUCAACAUCCAACAGCCAACAUCCAACAUCCAACAUCCAACAGUCAACAUCCAACAGCCAACAUCCAACAUCCAACAUCCAACAGUCAACUAAUAUCCAACAUCCAACAGCCAACAUCCAACAGUCAACAUCCAACAGCCAACACCCAACAUCCAACAUUCAACAUCCAAUACCCAACACCCAACAUCCAACACCCAACAUCCAAACAUCUCCAUCCUCUCUCCAUGUCAGGCGCUGCUCCUGUCUCAGGGGGAGUGGCCUGGGAGGGUCUCCAGCAGGGUGUCCC